rnacentral:rRNA from 1 species
UACGAAGGGGGCUAGCGUUGCUCGGAAUUACUGGGCGUAAAGCGCACGUAGGCGGCUUUCUAAGUCGGGGUGAAAUCCUGGAGCUCAACUCCAGAACUGCCUUCGAUACUGGAGAGCUUGAGUCCGGGAGAGGUGAGUGGAACUGCGAGUGUAGAGGUGAAAUUCGUAGAUAUUCGCAAGAACACCAGUGGCGAAGGCGGCUCACUGGCCCGGUACUGACGCUGAGGUGCGAAAGCGUGGGAGCAACAGG